rnacentral:tRNA from 1 species
GGCGGGAUAGCUCAGAUGGUCAGAGCGCAGGAUUCAUAACCCUGAGGUCACGGGUUCAAUUCCCGUUCCCGCCACCA